rnacentral:rRNA from 1 species
AAAGCAUUUGCCAAGGACGUUUUCAUUAAUCAAGAACGAAAGUUAGGGGAUCGAAGAUGAUCAGAUACCGUCGUAGUCUUAACCAUAAACUAUGCCGACUAGGGAUCGGGCGUUGUUCUUUUUAUGACUCGCUCGGCACCUUACGAGAAAUCAAAGUUUUUGGGUUCUGGGGGGAGUAUGGUCGCAAGGCUGAAACUUAAAGGAAUUGACCGAAGGGCACCACCAGGAGUGGAGCCUGCGGCUUAAUUUGACUCAACACGGGAAAUCUCACCAGGUCCAGACACAAUAAGGAUUGACAGAUUGAGAGCUCUUUCUUGAUUUUGUGGGUGGUGGUGCAUGGCCGUUCUUAGUUGGUGGAGUGAUUUGUCUGCUUAAUUGCGAUAACGAACGAGACCUUAACCUACUAAAUAGUGCUGUUAGCUUCGGCUGAACUGGCACUUCUUAGAGGGACUAUCGAUUUCAAGUCGAUGGAAGUUUGAGGCAAUAACAGGUCUGUGAUGCCCUUAGACGUUCUGGGCCGCACGCGCGCUACACUGACGGAGCCAGCAAGUACUAUCCUUGGCCGAAAGGUCCGGGUAAUCUCGUGAAACUCCGUCGUGCUGGGGGAUAGAGCAUUGAAAUUAUUGCUCUUCAACGAGGAAUUCCUAG